AAAUCUUGGAGUUGUUGUUACGGCUUAUUUCGCUAGUUGAUGUACAAGUAUUACCAAACUUAAUGAAGUUGUCAGCACAACUGAUUGUCCAGUUACCUAAGGAUGGCCAGAAUGUUGUUCUCAAUGAGUUAUAUAAUCAGGUUGCUGAAUCUGAUGAUGUUACACGAAAGCCAACAUUAGUUUCAUGGGUGCAGUCAUUAUCUUACCUUUGUUCGGGAACAACAAGUACAACCUUUAGAGGCAAUAAAAGUGAAGAAAGUUCUGCUUUGCCUCUUCCAGAUCCAUCAAACGGUGACAGGAUAGAAGCACGGC
rnacentral:misc_RNA from 1 species